AUGGGAUUUUUGCUCCUGUUUGUUUUCGCUGUAGCAGCUUUGGAAGGUGCCCGGUCCCAGGUGCUGGUGGAGUCUGGAGGGGGUGUGAAAAAGCCCGGAGACUCUCUCCGCCUCUCCUGCAAAGCCUCCAGGUUCACCUUCAGUGAUUACUGGAUGAGCUGGGUCAGACAGGCCCCUGGGAAGGGACUGGAAUGGGUCACUAAUAUAAACUACGGUGGGAGUACUAUAUACUACCUUGAUUCAGUGAAAGGCCGAUUCACCAUCUCCAGGGAUGAUUCCAAGAGUGAGCUGUAUCUGCAAAUGACAGGCCUGAAGCCCGAGGACACCGCCCGCUAUUACUGUGCGAGAGACACAGUGACACACAAACCGAUAGAUGCUCCUGCAAAAACCCAGGCUGCAGAAUCCGCGCGCCAUGUGGGAGCAGCAGCGACAUAA